rnacentral:rRNA from 1 species
CCUACGGGUGGCUGCAGUGGGGAAUUUUGGACAAUGGGCGAAAGCCUGAUCCAGCAAUGCCGCGUGUGUGAAGAAGGCCUUCGGGUUGUAAAGCACUUUUGGGAACCGUGCGGUACCCGCAGAAUAAGCACCGGCUAACUACGUGCCAGCAGCCGCGGUAAUACGUAGGGUGCAAGCGUUAAUCGGAAUUACUGGGCGUAAAGCGUGCGCAGGCGGUUAUGUAAGACAGAUGUGAAAUGCCCGGGCUUAACCUGGGAACUGCAUUUGUGACUGCAUGGCUAGAAUCUGGCAGAGGGGGGUAGAAUUCCACGUGUAGCAGUGAAAUGCGUAGAUAUGUGGAGGAACACCGAUGGCGAAGGCAGCCCCCUGGGCUAAAUUGACGCUCAUGCACGAAAGCGUGGGGAGCAAACAGGAUUAGAUACCCUUGUAGUC